rfam:Picea glauca, whole genome shotgun sequence.
UGCCUACAACAUAAUGCUAAUACACCGGAUCCCAUUAGAACUCCACAGUUAAGCGUGCUCAAGCUAGAGUAGUACUAGGAUGGGUGACCUCCUGGGAAGUCCUAGUGUUUUAGAUAC